rnacentral:misc_RNA from 1 species
UCCGGUUUGUCACCGGCAGUCUCAUUAGAGUGCCCUUGCGUAGCAACUAAUGAUAAGGGUUGCGCUCGUUGCGGGACUUAACCCAACAUCUCACGACACGAUCUGACGACAGCCAUGCAGCACCUGUCUUGGGGCUCCCGAAGGCACUCCCGCAUCUCUCCGGCGAGCACAGGAUGUCAAGGCCUGGUAAGGUUCUGCGCGUUGCGUCGAAUUAAACCACAUGCUCCACCGCUUGUGCGGGCCCCCGUCAAUUCCUUUGAGUUUCAACCUUGCGGCCGUACUCCCCAGGCGGGAUGCUUAAUGCGUUAGCUGCGCCACUGACAAGCAAGCUUGCCAACGGCUAGCAUCCAUCGUUUACGGCGUGGACUAC